CAACCUGCCCACCACUUGGGGAUAACCUUGCGAAAGUAAGACUAAUACCCAAUGAUAUCUCUAGAAGACAUCUGAAGGAGACUAAAGAUUCAUCGGUGAUGGAUGGGGAUGCGUCUGAUUAGCUUGUUGGCGGGGUAACGGCCCACCAAGGCGACGAUCAGUAGGGGUUCUGAGAGGAAGGUCCCCCACAUUGGAACUGAGACACGGUCCAAACUCCUACGGGAGGCAGCAGUGAGGAAUAUUGGUCAAUGGGCGAGAGCCUGAGCCAGCCAAGUAGCGUGCAGGAAGACGGCCCUAUGGGUUGUAAACUGCUUUUAUAAGGGAAUAAAGUGAGCCUCGUGAGGCUUUUUGCAUGUACCUUAUGAAUAAGGACCGGCUAAUUCCGUGCCAGCAGCCGCGGUAAUACGGAAGGUCCGGGCGUUAUCCGGAUUUAUUGGGUUUAAAGGGAGCGUAGGCCGGAGAUUAAGCGUGUUGUGAAAUGUAGAUGCUCAACAUCUGCACUGCAGCGCGAACUGGUUUCCUUGAGUACGCACAAAGUGGGCGGAAUUCGUGGUGUAGCGGUGAAAUGCUUAGAUAUCACGAAGAACUCCGAUUG
rnacentral:rRNA from 1 species